rnacentral:rRNA from 1 species
UACCCGCAGCUCAAGUGGUGGUCAUUAUUAUUGGGCGUAAAGGGUGCGUAGGCGGCGCGGUAAGUCGGGUGUGAAAUCUUGGAGCUUAACUCCGAAACUGCAUUCGAUACUGCCGUGCUUGAGGACUGGAGAGGAGACUGGAAUUUACGGUGUAGCGGUGAAAUGCGUAGAUAUCGUAAGGAAGACCAGUGGCGAAGGCGGGUCUCUGGACAGUUCCUGACGCUGAGGCACGAAGGCCAGGGGAGCGAACAGG